UCCGUAGGUGAACCUGCGGAAGGAUCAUUAACGAGUUUACUGAGCUGUCGCUGCCCUCUCGGGGGAUGUGCACGCUCUUUCACUCAUCUAUACACCUGUGAACCUAUGCGAGUCAAUGGGGGAUUAGCGAAAGAGACCGAAAGGUUUCGACUAGCGUUCUCUGUCGGCUCGAUUUUUUUAUAAACUCUUGUAUGUCUUAGAAUGUCUACUUUGCUUUAACGCAAUAAAUACAACUUUCAACAACGGAUCUCUUGGCUCUCGCAUCGAUGAAGAACGCAGCGAAAUGCGAUAAGUAAUGUGAAUUGCAGAAUUCAGUGAAUCAUCGAAUCUUUGAACGCACCUUGCGCUCCCUGGUAUUCCGGGGAGCAUGCCUGUUUGAGUGUCAUGAAUCUCUCAACCUAUCAGAUUGCAAAAUCGAAGUAGUGUUGGAUUUGGAGGCUUUGCUGGCCUAGUCAGCUCCUCUUAAAUGCAUUAGCUAUGGAUCGCGCAGCUAUUAGAUCUACGGUGUGAUACAUGUCUUACCAACGGAUCGAAAGCUAUAAUCACCGCUUCGGCAGUGUAUACUUUAAUCAGUGUACCGUGUGAUGAGUGAAUACAAAGCUUCUAAUCGUCUGUAACGGACAACUCUUUUGACAUCUGACCUCAAAUCAGGUAGGACUACCCGCUGAACUUAACGAUAUCAAUAAGCGGAGGA
rnacentral:rRNA from 1 species